UACGGAGGGUGCGAGCGUUGUCCGGAAUCAUUGGGCGUAAAGGGCGCGUAGGUGGCCCGGUCAGUUCGUGGUGAAAGCGCGGGGCUCAACCCUGCGUCGGCCAUGAAUACUGCCGCGGCUGGAGCACUGUAGAGGCAGGCGGAAUUCCGGGUGUAGCGGUGGAAUGCGUAGAGAUCCGGAAGAACACCAGUGGCGAAGGCGGCCCGCUGGGCAGUGGCUGACGCUGAAGCGCGACAGCGUGGGGAGCAAACAGG
rnacentral:rRNA from 1 species